rnacentral:rRNA from 1 species
AACGAACGCUGGCGGCAGGCCUAACACAUGCAAGUCGAACGCUCCGCAAGGGGAGUGGCGCGCGGGUGAGUAACACGUGGGAACCUACCUUCUGGUACGGAACAACCAAGGGAAACUUUGGCUAAGACCGUAUACGACCUCCGGGUGAAAGAUUGAUCGCCGGAAGAGGGGCCCGCGUCCGAUUAGGUAGUUGGUGAGGUAACGGCUCACCAAGCCUUCGAUCGGUAGCUGGUCUGAGAGGAUGACCAGCCACACUGGGACUGAGACACGGCCCACGACUCCUACGGGAGGCAGCAGUGGGAAUAUUGGACAAUGGGCGCAAGCCUGAUCCAGCCAUGCCGCGUGAGUGAUG